rnacentral:rRNA from 1 species
GACGAACGCUGGCGGCGUGCUUAACACAUGCAAGUCGAACGGAAAGGCCUGGCUUUGGUGGGUGCCCCGAUGGCCAACCGGUGGGUAAACCCUUGAUUAACUUCCCCUGGCCUUUGGGUUAAUUCCGGAAACUGGGGGUAAUACCCGAUAAGAGCUCCUGCCGCCUUGUGGGGGUUGGGAAGGUUCGGCGGUUGGGGAUGGACUCGCGGCUUAUCAGCUUGUUGGUGGGGUAGUGGCUUACCAAGGCUUUGACGGGUAGCCGGCCUGAGAGGGUGACCGGCCACAUUGGGACUGAGAUACGGCCCAGACUCCUACGGGAGGCAGCAGUGGGGAAUAUUGCACAAUGGGCGGAAGCCUGAUGCAGCAACGCCGCGUGCGGGAUGACGGCCUUCGGGUUGUAAACCGCUUUCGCCUGUGACGAAGCGUGAGUGACGGUAAUGGGUAAAGAAGCACCGGCUAACUACGUG